rnacentral:sRNA from 1 species
AUUAUUAUUACCAUUCGAUUUCUUCAAAUGGAAGGAAACUGGAAAUAAGUCUCUGUGGUAGUGGAAAUCAGAUCAAAGACUAUUUUUUGGAGUGGUGCAUAGU